UGGGGAAUUUUGGACAAUGGGCGCAAGCCUGAUCCAGCCAUGCCGCGUGCGGGAAGAAGGCCUUCGGGUUGUAAACCGCUUUUGUCAGGGAAGAAAUCUUCUGAGUUAAUACCUCGGGAGGAUGACGGUACCUGAAGAAUAAGCACCGGCUAACUACGUGCCAGCAGCCGCGGUAAUACGUAGGGUGCAAGCGUUAAUCGGAAUUACUGGGCGUAAAGCGUGCGCAGGCGGUUUUGUAAGACAGAGGUGAAAUCCCCGGGCUCAACCUGGGAACUGCCUUUGUGACUGCAAGGCUUGAGUGCGGCAGAGGGGGGAUGGAAUUCCGCGUGUAGCAGUGAAAUGCGUAGAUAUGCGGAGGAACACCGAUGGCGAAGGCAAUCCCCCUGGGCCUGCACUGACGCUCAUGCACG
rnacentral:rRNA from 1 species